rnacentral:rRNA from 1 species
UACGGAGGGGGCUAGCGUUGUUCGGAAUUACUGGGCGUAAAGCGCACGUAGGCGGCUUUGUAAGUUAGAGGUGAAAGCCCGGGGCUCAACUCCGGAAUUGCCUUUAAGACUGCAUCGCUAGAAUUGUGGAGAGGUAAGUGGAAUUCCGAGUGUAGAGGUGAAAUUCGUAGAUAUUCGGAAGAACACCAGUGGCGAAGGCGACUCACUGGCCCAUUACUGACGCUGAGGCGCGAAAGCGUGGGGAGCAAACAGG